AUACGGAGGGUGCAAGCGUUACUCGGAAUCGCUGGGCGUAAAGCGCGCGCAGGCGGCUUGGUAAGUUGGAUGUGAAAGCCUACGGCUCAACCGUAGAACUGCAUCCAAAACUGCCAAGCUAGAGUGGGGGAGAGGAAGAUGGAAUUAGUUGUGUAGGGGUAAAAUCCGUAGAGAUAACUAGGAAUACCAAAAGCGAAGGCAAUCUUCUGAAACACUACUGACGCUGAGGCGCGAAAGCGUGGGGAGCAAACAGGAUUAGAAACCCCAGUAGUCC
rnacentral:rRNA from 1 species